rfam:Staphylococcus sp. HGB0015 genomic scaffold aczIz-supercont1.2, whole genome shotgun sequence.
UUUAUAUGCUAGGGGUGCUCGAGGCGAGCUGAGAAAGAAUUUAUCUUAACUCUUUGAACCUGAGGUGGUUAGAACCAACGAAGGAAAGCGUAUGAUGACAAUG